CCACGGCAGCAUGGGCGAAGCCUGAUGCAGCAACGCCGCGUGAGGGACGACGGCCUUCGGGUUGUAAACCUCUUUUACCAGGGAAGAUGCUGACGUGACCGUACUUGCAGACCCCGCGCCGGCUCACUACGUGCCCCCAGCCGCGAUAAUACGG
rnacentral:rRNA from 1 species